AUGCUUCCAACUUUGCUGAUGUGGUCUCUACCGGAGAGAGGGUGGAGAAUUACCUGAAGACCUACAAGAUCCAAAGUGGAGGAGGAUCUUCGUCAGGGGUAAAAAAGUCGUUCGUUGGAGGGCAUAAGCAAAGAGAGGGGGGAGUGAAUUCUUUGGCUUCCUAUCAGAACAGAGGUGUUAGAAGGAAUAAUUUUCAGAAUUAUCAUCAACAACCGUAUGUUGCGGCGGUGACCAUUCCAGCUGCAGCGCCACAACAACAACAACCACCGCAGCGUCAACCAGCUCAGUAUCAACAGCAGCAACAACCGGGUAACAGACCCGCUUAUCAACAGAGGCAAAGGAUGAUGGACCGGCGUUUCGACAC
rnacentral:lncRNA from 1 species